rnacentral:rRNA from 1 species
CAGCAGCCACGGUAAUACAGAGGGUGCGAGCGUUAAUCGGAUUUACUGGGCGUAAAGCGUGCGUAGGCGGCUUCUUAAGUCGGAUGUGAAAUCCCUGAGCUUAACUUAGGAAUUGCAUUCGAUACUGGGAAGCUAGAGUAUGGGAGAGGAUGGUAGAAUUCCAGGUGUAGCGGUGAAAUGCGUAGAGAUCUGGAGGAAUACCGACGGCGAAGGCAGCCAUCUGGCCUAAUACUGACGCUGAGGUACGAAAGCAUGGGGAGCAAACAGGAUUAGAUACCCGCGUAGUCCCUGUCUCUUAUAC